CACACCGCCCGUCGCUACUACCGAUUGAAUGGCUUAGUGAGGCCUUCGGACUGGCCCAAGGAGGUCGGCAACGACCACCUAGGGCCGGAAAGUUCGUCAAACUAAGUCAUUUAGAGGAAGUAAAAGUCGUAACAAGGUUUCCGUAGGUGAACCUGCGGAAGGAUCAUUAAAAGAGAGCGGCCGCCCCUCGCGGGUGGCCACCCCUCUACCCCUUGAAUUCGCACACCGCGUAGCCCCCCCGGAACCCCUCGCGGGGUGAAGGGGGAGCAAAAAACCAUAAAACGUUCUGACCUCGCUCAGUCUGAGCCACUUUUGGCAAAUAAAUCAAAACUUUCAACAACGGAUCUCUUGGCUCUGGCAUCGAUGAAGAACGCAGCGAAAUGCGAUAAGUAAUGUGAAUUGCAGAAUUCCGUGAAUCAUCGAAUCUUUGAACGCACAUUGCGCCCUCCGGUAUUCCGGAGGGCACGCCUGUCCGAGCGUCAUUACAACCCUCAAGCUCUGCUUGGUAUUGGGCGACCGCCCGCCUGCCCUCGGGCGGCGGACGCGCCUCGAAGAACUCGGCGGUCCCAGGACGGCUCCGGGCGUAGCAAAAGCGAAUCGCCUUGGAGUCCGCCCCGGCGGCCUGCCGCACAAAUGACACGCAACUUUUUUGCAAGGUUGACCUCGGAUCAGGCGGGGAUACCCGCUGAACUUAAGCAUAUCAAUAAGCGGAGGAAAAGAAACCAACAGGGAUUGCCUUAGUAACGGCGAGUGAAGCGGCAACAGCUCAAAUUUGAAAUCUGGUCCCCCCGGGGCCCGAGUUGUAAUUUGCAGAGGGUGCUUCGGCGUCGGCUCCGGUCCAAGUUCCUUGGAACAGGACGUCACAGAGGGUGAGAACCCCGUACGUGGCCGGAAGUCUUCGCCGUGUGAAGCCCCUUCGACGAGUCGAGUUGUUUGGGAAUGCAGCUCUAAAUGGGAGGUAAAUUUCUUCUAAAGCUAAAUACCGGCCAGAGACCGAUAGCGCACAAGUAGAGUGAUCGAAAGAUGAAAAGCACUUUGGAAAGAGAGUUAAAAAGCACGUGAAAUUGUUGAAAGGGAAGCAGUUGCAGCCAGACUUGGCCGCGGGCGUUCAUCCGUGCUUCUGCACGGUGUACUCGACCGCGGUCAGGCCAGCAUCAGUUCGGGCGGCCGGAUAAAGGUCCCGGGAAUGUGGCUCCCCUCGGGGAGUGUUAUAGCCCGGGGCGUAAUACGACCAGCCUGGACUGAGGUCCGCGCUUCGGCUAGGAUGCUGGCAUAAUGGCUGUAACUGGCCCGUCUUGAAACACGGACCAAGGAGUCUAACAUCUAUGCGAGUGUUUGGGUGUCAAACCCAUACGCGUAAUGAAAGUGAACGGAGGUGAGAGCCGCAAGGCGCAUCAUCGACCGAUCCUGAUGUCUUCGGAUGGAUUUGAGUAUGAGCAUAGCUGUUGGGACCCGAAAGAUGGUGAACUAUGCCUGAAUAGGGUGAAGCCAGAGGAAACUCUGGUGGAGGCUCGCAGCGGUUCUGACGUGCAAAUCGAUCGUCAAAUUUGGGUAUAGGGGCGAAAGACUAAUCGAACC
rnacentral:rRNA from 1 species